rnacentral:rRNA from 1 species
GAUGAACUCUAGCUACAGGCUUAACACAUGCAAGUCGAGGGGAAACGACAUCGAAAGCUUGCUUUUGAUGGGCGUCGACCGGCGCACGGGUGAGUAACGCGUAUCCAACCUGCCCAUCACUUGGGAAUAACCUUGCGAAAGUAAGACUAAUACCCAAUGAUAUCCCACGAAGGCAUCGGAAUGGGAUUAAAGAUUUAUCGGUGAUGGAUGGGGAUGCGUCUGAUUAGCUUGUUGGCGGGGUAACGGCCCACCAAGGCAACGAUCAGUAGGGGUUCUGAGAGGAAGGUCCCCCACAUUGGAACUGAGACACGGUCCAAACUCCUACGGGAGGCAGCAGUGAGGAAUAUUGGUCAAUGGGCGAGAGCCUGAACCAGCCAAGUAGCGUGCAGGAAGACGGCCCUAUGGGUUGUAAACUGCUUUUAUAAGGGAAUAAAGUGGGUCACGUGUGACUUUUUGCAUGUACCUUAUGAAUAAGGACCGGCUAAUUCCGUG